AGUGAACGCUGGCGGUAGGCCUAACACAUGCAAGUCGAACGGCAGCACAGUAAGAGCUUGCUCGUACGGGUGGCGAGUGGCGGACGGGUGAGGAAUACAUCGGACUCUACUUUUUCGUGGGGGCUAACGGAGGGAAACUUACGCUAAUACCGCAUACCACCUACGGGUGAAAGCAGGGGCCCUUCGGCCCUUGCGCGAUUGAAUGAGCCGAUGUCGGAUUAGCUAGUUGGCGGGGUAAAGGCCCACCAAGGCGACGAUCCGUAGCUGGUCUGAGAGGAUGAUAAGCCACACUGGAACUGAGACACGGUCCAGACGCCUACGGGAGGCAGCAGUGGGGAAGAUUGGACAAUGGGCGCAAGCCUGAUCCAGCCAUACCGCGUGGGUGAAGAAGGCCUUCGGGUUGUAAAGCCCUUUUGUUGGGAAAGAAAAGCAGCACGUUAAUACCCCGCUGUUCUGACGGUACCAAAAGAAUAAGCACCGGCUAACUUCGUG
rnacentral:rRNA from 1 species